rnacentral:rRNA from 1 species
UACGUAGGGACCAAGCGUUGUUCGGAUUUACUGGGCGUAAAGGGCGCGUAGGCGGCGUGGUAAGUCACUUGUGAAAUCUCUGAGCUUAACUCAGAACGGUCAAGUGAUACUGCUGUGCUAGAGUGCGGAAGGGGCAAUCGGAAUUCUUGGUGUAGCGGUGAAAUGCGUAGAUAUCAGGAGGAACACCAAUGGCGAAGGCAGCUCGCUGGGACGGUACUGACGCUGAGACGCGAAAGCGUGGGGAGCAAACAGG